rnacentral:rRNA from 1 species
AGUGAACGCUGGCGGUAGGCCUAACACAUGCAAGUCGAACGGCAGCACAGUAAGAGCUUGCUCUUACGGGUGGCGAGUGGCGGACGGGUGAGGAAUACAUCGGAAUCUACUUUUUCGUGGGGGAUAACGUAGGGAAACUUACGCUAAUACCGCAUACGACCUACGGGUGAAAGCAGGGGAUCUUCGGACCUUGCGCGAUUGAAUGAGCCGAUGUCGGAUUAGCUAGUUGGCGGGGUAAAGGCCCACCAAGGCGACGAUCCGUAGCUGGUCUGAGAGGAUGAUCAGCCACACUGGGACUGAGACACGGCCCAGACUCCUACGGGAGGCAGCAGUGGGGAAUAUUCGACAAUGGGCGCAAGCCUGAUCCAGCCAUACCGCGUGGGUGAAGAAGGCCUUCGGGUUGUAAAGCCCUUUUGUUGGGAAAGAAAAGCAGCAGGUUAAUACCCCGCUGUUCUGACGGUACCCAAAGAAUAAGCACCGGCUAACUUCGUG